UGCCAGCAGCCGCGGUAAGACGGAGGGUGCAAACGUUGUUCGGAAUCACUGGGCAUAAAGCGCACGUAGGCGGCUAAGUCAGUUCGGUGUGAAAGCCCCCGGCUCAACCGGGGAACGGCACCGAAUACUACUUGGCUUGAGGACGGUUGGGGUAAGUGGAACUCCUGGUGGAGCGGUGAAAUGCGUAGAUAUCAGGAGGAACACCAGUGGCGAAAGCGGCUUACUGGACCGUAUCUGACGCUGAGGUGCGAAAGCUAGGGUAGCGAACGGGAUUAGAUA
rnacentral:rRNA from 1 species